rnacentral:rRNA from 1 species
UACGUAGGGGGCGAGCGUUAUCCGGAUUCACUGGGUGUAAAGGGAGCGUAGACGGCCAUGCAAGCCAGGGGUGAAAGCCCGGGGCCCAACCCCGGGACUGCCCUUGGAACUGCAUGGCUGGAGUGCGGGAGGGGCAGGCGGAAUUCCUAGUGUAGCGGUGAAAUGCGUAAAUAUUAGGAGGAACACCAGUGGCGAAGGCGGCCUGCUGGACGGUGACUGACGCUGAGGCUCGAAAGCGUGGGGAGCAAACAGG